CUGGGUUGGUUAAACUAGCUUUUUCGUUCAUGAAGAACACUCCGGUCGUGACCGGAGCUGACGGUAAUGCGUGAAUAAGCACCGGCUAACUCCGUGC
rnacentral:rRNA from 1 species